rnacentral:lncRNA from 1 species
AUUUUGUAUAUCUUUAGGCGACGAAGAAGUUUCUGUAUUUUUUCGAAAUGUUCAAGAGAUCAGAGCCGAAGAGCUUAUGCCAACGGAAGUAAUGGACAAGCUAAGUCAGGAA